GACGAACGCUGGCGGCGUGCUUAACACAUGCAAGUCGAACGGAAAGGCCCUGCUUUUGUGGGGUGCUCGAGUGGCGAACGGGUGAGUAACACGUGAGUAACCUGCCCUUGACUUUGGGAUAACUUCAGGAAACUGGGGCUAAUACCGGAUAGGAGCUCCUGCUGCAUGGUGGGGGUUGGAAAGUUUCGGCGGUUGGGGAUGGACUCGCGGCUUAUCAGCUUGUUGGUGGGGUAGUGGCUUACCAAGGCGUUGACGGGUAGCCGGCCUGAGAGGGUGACCGGCCACAUUGGGACUGAGACACGGCCCAGACUCCUACGGGAGGCAGCAGUGGGGAAUAUUGCACAAUGGGCGGAAGCCUGAUGCAGCAACGCCGCGUGCGGGAUGACGGCCUUCGGGUUGUAAACCGCUUUCGCCUGUGACGAAGCGUGAGUGACGGUAAUUGGUGAAGAAGCACCGGCUAACUACGUG
rnacentral:rRNA from 1 species